UCAUCAUGGUUCCUUGAGCGCGGUUCCAGCGUGCCUGCCUGCUGCUACUAUGAGAAGGAACACAACCUAGUCUCGUCAAACUUUAUUUCUUUUCUUUUCCGUUUGAGAGUUUCGUGUUCUGAGUUAAGUUUUGUAACGUCCAUUCAACUUCAACCAGGGAACACGACUCUGCACUUUCAGCCAACGCCCAACAACCACGGGCUUCCCAAGACGUCACUUCAGAGACUGAACUUCCAGCCAAUCAACGACCUCGGGAUAGCCCUUUCACCGAGGCUCCUUCUUCACAGGAGAUGCAUUACCAUAGCCAGUGCUCUUAUUGAUACAUCUCAGCAGAGGGCCGGCGACUUCAAAGACAAGGGCUUGAGUCUAAAUAGUCGUAAACAGCAGCACACGGUGCACCAGGGAACCUGUGUUUGUACCAGCCGACUGACCUCAAUGGACACACUGAUUCUCAUCUUUUAUAUCUCCUGCUCUCUCUCUCUCGUUCUCGUUCUCUACUGCUAGAAGGAGAUGGUGUUGAUGAGUAGGGAGCUCUUGAAGUGUAAAUGACAAAGGAGGGUUGAGACAUCAGUAGUCCAUGUGUGGCUCCUCCUGAACUGCACGCUCCAUGGUGGAGCUUGUAUUCGUUCAGUAUUGCUUGAACCUCUGUGGAGGACAUCUGCAUUUUGAUUGUGCCCACUGGGUUUCUGUUUUCAACAGCUGUUUCUCAAAAAGGGAGGGAGUGCGUAGAUGAAACUCACCUGGACCCAAAAUAGUAACAGGUUUGAGCCAGUGUUUAAACCUGGCUCUACUUUCAGGGUUUUGUCUUGUCUUGUUAUUUAGUGAUGUUGAUGACUCUUUAACAGACUAAUUAUUAGCCGAGGUAAUGAGUUUAUGGUAUAUGUGGUGUUUUGUAAUGGUCUGGAUCUGAGAAAGUUUAUUUUCAGAGAUGAGAGUAGAUUUAAAGUUGUAUGCUAUACUGAAAAGAUUUUAUGUAGGAUUUUUCUUUUUUAAAUAAUUCUCACUCAGAUUAUUUGUUUAGGUAGAUAGGCUGGAAUAGUAUUUUCUUGUCAAAUAUACUCCAAUAAUUUAUGUUUUAAUGUUAAUAUAUAUAUAUAUAUAUAUAUAUAAAAAAAAUUAUAUAUGCUGGCUAAAAAUAACUUUUUAGCAGACAUUUAGCAGUCAGUAAAUUAUUAUUAUUAUUUUUAUUUUUAAGAAAUAGAUUUAUAUAUACAUUUACAAAUGCAUUUUUCCUUUUCUUUCUCACUUUCUAUUCAUCUAUCAUGAAAAUAUAUCAUGGUUUCUACUAAAAUAUGAAACAGUAUAGCUUUUUUAACAUUAUUAAUAAUAUUUUUUUUUCUGGAGCAGCAAAUAAUUUGUUGUGUGACACUGAAGACUGCAUUAAUGGCUGCUGAAAAAAAAUCAGUUUUACCAUCACAAGAUUAAAAUACAUUUCAUAAUAUAUUCAAAUAUUAGUGAGCAUAACAAACUUCUCAUUCCAAUAAUUUGUUUAUUCAUUUUUUGUCAAAUACAAAAUAUUCCUCAUUCUCAAAUACAGGGUGUUUUGAUAGCGCUACAGAGAGUUAAAGGCUUACUACAAACUACAAACUUUAAAGUUAAAGGCUUACUACAAACGGCUUACCUGUUGUUGUGUGUGCAUAACAUAAAAUAACAUAUAUUAAUCUUCAAAUCCACAGGGUUUCUUUAUGGAACUGUAGUUUAGUUAGCGGCCAUAAACUAGUGCUGCAUUUAUCAGAGAUACAGUGGUUGUUCUGAAACAUCCCAUGAUCAAGAGAUGUGUGUCAGCUGAGAGUCAGCCAGGUUAACUGAAGUAGACAUAACAUUUUAUUAGGGUUCUUUGGGCAAAAUCAUUGGUUUUUAUUUUGCAUGUCUGUUUAUAGAGUCAUCAAACUUAACUUGCCAUUAGUACAUACAGUAUGUCUCUUAAGUGUUGUUCAAAGCCAAGAAACAUUUGCUUGUAUUUGUAAUGUGUAAUGUUUUGCUUUGUUUGUUUGUUUCAUUAUAAUUCUACAAAUUAUAAUUCUGUAAUCAUUUGCUCUCAUGCCAAACCUGUAUGACUUUCUUUCUUCUUUGGAAAAUAAAUAAUAAUAAUAAUUAUGAUGAUAUUAUUAUUAUUAUCAUUAUCAUUAUUAUUAUUAUUCUUAUAAAUAUUCUCUUUUUUCUCAUUUUUUGUUUUUUAUUGUAAUGUUGAAUCAAAUUUUUCCGUAUCUCCCGUUUAUAAAUGACCCCUUCUGAACUUAAAUCUAACAAAUGUUCAUUUGCUCUGCGUUCAUUGCGUUGUUGGCUCAUUUGCACUGCUACACAAGCCAUACAGAUGUAAUGCCACUGCAUUCCAGAAAAAUAUAUAUUGUGUUGUAUUUUAUGUCUCAAAGGCACUUGUUUUUGUUUAUUUAUUCUCAUUUGCAUACUUGAUUCAUAACCUUUAUAAAUUGUAUAAAUGUUGAUGAGUUGUCUGGUUUUACAGUGUUAUGUAAUAAUUUACAUUAUACAAAAUCAACUUUUAACAAAUGAAGAGCAGCCAAAUAAAGUUUGUUCUUAUGCAGAAAUAGAGAUUUUCUAUGAAAGAUUUAAUGAAAG
ensembl:lncRNA